CACUAGACCGCCGGCUCCAAGAUCCCCGAGGCCCCAGACAGAUUCCAAAUCCGCAGGCAGAGUUCUUUUGAGACUUCAGGAGUUCGGCAAGGUUUCUAGAAAUCACUACUGGCAGAUUCCGGAUAUCUCAGACCUGCAGGCCUGGCCGGGGGCAGGGCAACUCUCUCAACCCGGCUUGGCUUCUUGCCUUCUCCUAUGAGUAAGUGCUUUCCUCUUUCUUCACCUGGGUCCCUCCAGAGGGUGGAGGAGAGAGGCUGAGAGAGACGGAAGGCUGACUUCUUUUGGCGGCCCUGGGGUAGGGGCGGUAGUGGGGGAGAAGAGGGGGAGGAGAGAAAGUGGGUGAGGGGCUUCCUGUCGCAGCCUUCGGCGGGACUCUGAGGGUUGGGUCACUGGAGAAGGAAGUGACUUCCUGCUCAUUGUUCAGGACUUCGUUGUUUCUCAGGAAUAUUGUAUGUGGGUUUUCAAUAACCAAUUUGGAAAACUAUUUGUCCCAUCACUUAGCAAACGACGAGCACCUACUGUGUGCAGAGGUAGCAGCACAGCCUAUCACUGGGGAAAGGGGCCAGGAGGACCAUUUGUGCAGGAUCUCCAGGUGGAGUUAUAGGUUAUGUCAGAGCCACUACCAAUUUAAUCAAAGUUGCUCUUAGUAUAUCUUUAAGCUUGUUUCUUAAUAGACCACAGUGCCUAUGGAGCACUGUAAAUUGUUAUGUUUUAAUAAAUCUAUAAUUAUCUUGUGAGCCGCACAAUUAUGUUGUAAUUUUUUUGUAUUAGAAGCAUUAAUUUGUUAAACAUUGGAAAAUAUGCCUUAAUAUUUGUGAUCUUGUUUUGUCAUUUCUUCAUUUUCAAAUAUACCAGUAACAUAUAUAUAUUUUUUA